GGGGGGGGAGGCCUAAACAUGCAAGUCGAGCGGAUGAGAGGAGCUUGCUCCUCGAUUCAGCGGCGGACGGGUGAGUAAUGCCUAGGAAUCUGCCUAGUAGUGGGGGACAACGUUUCGAAAGGAACGCUAAUACCGCAUACGUCCUACGGGAGAAAGUGGGGGAUCUUCGGACCUCACGCUAUUAGAUGAGCCUAGGUCGGAUUAGCUAGUUGGUAGGGUAAAGGCCUACCAAGGCGACGAUCCGUAACUGGUCUGAGAGGAUGAUCAGUCACACUGGAACUGAGACACGGUCCAGACUCCUACGGGAGGCAGCAGUGGGGAAUAUUGGACAAUGGGCGAAAGCCUGAUCCAGCCAUGCCGCGUGUGUGAAGAAGGCCUUCGGGUCGUAAAGCACUUUAAGUUGGGAGGAAGGGCUCAUAGCGAAUACCUGUGAGUUUUGACGUUACCAACAGAAUAAGCACCGGCUAACUUCGUGCCAGCAGCCGCGGUAAUACGAAGGGUGCAAGCGUUAAUCGGAAUUACUGGGCGUAAAGCGCGCGUAGGUGGCUUGAUAAGUUGGAUGUGAAAUCCCCGGGCUCAACCUGGGAACUGCAUCCAAAACUGUCUGGCUAGAGUGCGGUAGAGGGUAGUGGAAUUUCCAGUGUAGCGGUGAAAUGCGUAGAUAUUGGAAGGAACACCAGUGGCGAAGGCGACUACCUGGACUGACACUGACACUGAGGUGCGAAAGCGUGGGGAGCAAACAGGAUUAG
rnacentral:rRNA from 1 species